UUGACAACUCUAGAGAUAGAGUCUUCCCCUUCGGGGGACAAAGUGACAGGUGGUGCAUGGUUGUCGUCAGCUCGUGUCGUGAGAUGUUGGGUUAAGUCCCGCAACGAGCGCAACCCUUAAGCUUAGUUGCCAGCAUUAAGUUGGGCACUCUAAGUUGACUGCCGGUGACAAACCGGAGGAAGGUGGGGAUGACGUCAAAUCAUCAUGCCCCUUAUGAUUUGGGCUACACACGUGCUACAAUGGACAAUACAAAGGGCAGCUAAACCGCGAGGUCAUGCAAAUCCCAUAAAGUUGUUCUCAGUUCGGAUUGUAGUCUGCAACUCGACUACAUGAAGCUGGAAUCGCUAGUAAUCGUAGAUCAGCAUGCUACGGUGAAUACGUUCCCGGGUCUUGUACACACCGCCCGUCACACCACGAGAGUCUGUAACACCCGAAGCCGGUGGAGUAACCAUUUAUGGAGCUAGCCGUCGAAGGUGGGACAAAUGAUUGGGGUGAAGUCGUAACAAGGUAGCCGUAUCGGAAGGUGCGGCUGGAUCACCUC
rnacentral:rRNA from 1 species